UGGAACAUGCGAAAGCUAACCUGCCUGUUGCAAGCACAGAAAAUUCCAAUCAGAAAAAUCAGUUUGUGGAAUAGCAUUUCUUGGCUGAAAGUACCCCAUUUCUUCCUUAGUUCCCAAGUACAGGAGGAACAAUACAAAUAGCACUGGCUUCAAGUGUGUGCUUCUGAUACAAAUUAAGACAAGUUAAGCUGUUUUGCCAGCAAAGGUCAGCUCUUUUUAAGUCUAAUUUGGCAGGUACCUUGCAGGCAUUUGAUACAAAACCUGCAAGGACUAAAGGACACAGAGUCAGAAAUCUGAUAAUUAAGCCUUCAAGGGCCUGUAUCAGAUUCACUUCUUUUUCUCAGGUGGGAAGUUUCUACCUGCCUUGCAUUGUGAAGUAUUUCACACCCAGUUAGAAUCUAUAUAUAUUGACCACCAUACUUUUACAAAUCAGAACUGCUAAGAGAUGUAAUAAAAUAACCAGUUUAAUUUGUGUUAUAUUUUGAAGAAAGUGUGAGCAGCAGCCAUACAGAUAAUGAACAGUAUAUUCCAGCAAUGUACAUUUUAAGUGGAGCAGACUAGAUCCCUGCCCUACUGCCAUGCCCAACCAUGCUUGCCAGUUGUAUGUCCAAAUAUAGCUGUGGCCUAUUUUCAACCCACAAAUGUGUAUAAUCUGUCCUCAUUCCCACCACACACGAGCUGGAACCUGUGACUGCUUCUGUAAAAUCUGAAGUACAAGUUCAAAUGUGCAGGUACUGUUCAGCUUAUUUGUUUUGUGAGAGUCUGCUCCCAGCUUUCAGUGUUUUUAGCCAAUGAAUGAAAACAUAGCAAUGACUGGCAUUUUGAAAAGCAGAUCUAGCGAAAUAGAAAAUCAGUUACACACCAGUGUCUAGUGAAGCAACUUUUUGGUUACUUUUUCAGUCUUCUCUGCCCUGUUGGUUGCCACUCUUGACUGAUGUUAACACUUCUUCUUUAAAGUCGGUGUUAGAACUUUAAUGAAAAAUUGCUAUCUGUAUGAGGCCUCAGCUUCAGGAUGCUUUUAUCCAGAUAUGUUACCUAGGAUUAUUUCCAUUUCCAGGUACAUUUUCUUCUGUUAGAGAAGAACUACAAGAAGCUAUUGUUAGCUUCUUGAAGCAAGAUGUCGAGUCUGGGGCCCUUCCUUGUAAAAUAAUUUUUUAAUAACCAGGAAAAUGUGUGCAUUAGAACAAGGGUUGCUCCAAUAUGAGUGCAAUUAGUCAAGAAAGUGUCCUGCAGGGAUAGAACUUGGAAAAAGUUUAUUAAUGGAAAAAGUUAAGGUACUUAUCUGUACCUUUUCUGUGUUUGAAAACUUAACUUUUUGGCUGAAAUAUUUUUGAAAGCUGGUUCUUAUUAUGGUAGAGGGUUUAUCCUUCUCAGUUAUCACCAACAGCUACACUGCAAUUACCUUCCCAGUUAGUCAUGAGAGUCUAAUGUCAAAAUGACUCAAAGCGUUUAGUAGAAAAUUUCACUAUGCUCCAUAAAAGAUUUUUAACAUUAGAUAUAGUGCAGGAUAAUAUAUUUUAACAAUAAUGGUUACAUGAUUUUGUAAGAACAAACAAGGAUUCACUUUCACUUUAAUAUAUGUCUUUUCUCUCCCUUAGUGUUACGUGAUUGACCAGAAUUCAAAUUGGGAGCUGGCGGGGACUCCUGUCGUACCACGUGGCCUGCCCAUGGAUUUCCCAACUACCAACUGCCUAGUCAUGUGUUGCUUCCAGGGGCUUGGGGCCCGAUGCAACAGGCUGCAACUGCCGCCCCCAUUGGGACCAGACUAUUAACAUCAGGGCAGGCGCUUACAUCCAUCAGUGCAGCAUUGAUGUAGUUACUGCUUUCCCCAUCUAUUGUAAUGAGGAAAGGUAGGCAUCUGUCUGGAGGAAGCACAUCCAUGCACCGAUUCUUCUCGUGAUUCCGUGGUAAAAGUGCUAUGCUGCAGUCCUCCACGCGCAGAGUUGGAGUCACCAUGUUAAGGGUCUACAAACAACAACAACAACACAAUAUGAGAGGAAGAGCUGAUUAGCAAUGAAUGUGCCUUCAGAAUAGGAUUAUGAGUAUCUUUAAUUUUAAAAGAGAGUCUGUGCUUCAGAGAAUAAUGAAAAAUUCUGGUCUCACAUUUUAAAAACAAACAAAUAAACCUUACGAUACAAA